AUUGAACGCUGGCGGCAUGCCUUACACAUGCAAGUCGAACGGUAACGCGGGGCAACCUGGCGACGAGUGGCGAACGGGUGAGUAACGCAUCGGAACGUGCCCAGUAGUGGGGGAUAGCCCGGCGAAAGCCGGAUUAAUACCGCAUACGACCUACGGGUGAAAGGGGGGGAUCGCAAGACCUCUCGCUAUUGGAGCGGCCGAUGUCAGAUUAGGUAGUUGGUGGGGUAAAGGCCUACCAAGCCGACGAUCUGUAGCUGGUCUGAGAGGACGACCGGCCACACUGGGACUGAGAGACGGCCCGGGCUCCUACGGGAGGCAGCAGUGGGGAAUUUUGGACAAUGGGCGCAAGCCUGAUCCAGCCAUGCCGCGUGCGGGAAGAAGGCCUUCGGGUUGUAAACCGCUUUUGUCAGGGAAGAAACGCGCUGGGUUAAUACCUCGGCGUAAUGACGGUACCUGAAGAAUAAGCACCGGCUAACUACGUGCCAGCCGCCGCCGUAA
rnacentral:rRNA from 1 species